UGACAAGAUGGAUCACCUACAGGACAACCUUGGAUCCUCAACCAGCCUGAUUAAGCAUUGACACUGCAUUUGUCACCACCAGCUCUGAUGGUUUGGACAUGUAGAAAUGUAUUGCAGGAGAAUAUGCAAACAGCUGCUGUAAGGUGAGCUGAUCGGGACAACUGCCAGCAGGCAGAAGGGAAGGCAUAAUUAAUGGGCACCCUUCAGCAGAGCUCAGAGCAGACCAAACGCCAAUGCAGAAGGCUCAAGAAAGAGGCAAACAGACUAGCCACUGCUCCAGGAUGACUGUGGCUCUUUAUGAGUGAAGAGAAAGGGUGGAGACUGAAGACAGAACUGGGGACAGUGACAGGCUUGGGGAAGAACAGCUGAUUCAGCAGUCCCAAGGGUGACAUCGCAAAAUACAUGGGUGAAGACAACCUAGUGGCCGUGACUUGGAGCACCCUUCCUCACAAUGAAGGCAUUCUGGGCCAGCCUGAAAAACAGCAUGGAAAUAAAUCACCUAAGUACAAGGGACUGGCUUAAAAAUGGUCUAAUGAAAUGUCAAAAGAGUUCUCCUGUGGAGCUUCGGAGAAGUUUCCUUACCCUUUAAAAAAAGAAAAGAAGAAAAGGAAAAGGGACCUCGGUGACAACGCUGUGAACAUCUAUGGAUUCCGCAUUCAAGUACUUUGUCACAACUGUCUCCACAAGUUGGUACAUCUUCUGUACAAGGCAAAGAAAACUCUAAAAACAUACAAAAAGUCAAUGUUAAUAAUGAGACAUUAUUAUUAAACAUCAACAAAGUGCCAUGUUCUUCAGGCUCCCUAAGGAAUGCUAGCACUUUCAGACUAUAAAUUUUUGUAUCCACAUAAUCAUUGGGAAAAAUUAACUUUAAUGAAAAUAAUCCCUAAUAUUUGUGAAGUUUAUGGUUUUUAAAAAGAAAUUUGACACAAGUUACUAUCCUCAAGAAACACAUUUUUAUGGGCUAUCUACUUCAGAAAUAGUUAUCUAAAGAAAUGAGUAAAGACUACAUAAACCAUUCAUGAAUUUUCCUAAUGUAAAAAUUUGUUUUAAAAAACUUGCUCUGAACUACCCCACAAAGACAAAAAGAAAGGUUUAGUCUUUAAAACACCACCUGGCUGACACUUAUAAUCUCAGCACUUUGGGAGGCCGAGACAGGAGGAUUACUUGAGGCCAGGAGUUCGAGGCCAGCCUGGGA
rnacentral:lncRNA from 1 species